CGUGCACAACAAGAGCGAUGUCGUCGCCAGACUUGGUUUCAUCCUCGGCUACUGCAACAGACCCAAAUUGCUGCUUCUUCAUCUUGGGACAGUGACUUCCAAUGUCCCUUCUCUUUGCAAUAGUUGCAAAUAUCAGAUGCUUUAGGACCCCUUGGAAACGACUUUUUAUCUUUCGAAGUCUUAUGUUCCCAUGUCCCUUCACACCACUGGCAAACAACCCCGAUGCUUGAUUGUCUGUCCCUAAGCUGGAUGCCUUAUGGCGCAAUUCCCGACUAUGAAGCGUCGACCUAACUUCUUCCAGUUUCACUGUACCUUUGCCAACAAUGAACGAUUGCACGAAGUUCUCGAAAGAGUUCGACAGAGAUACCAACAGGAUUAGUGUCGCGUCUUCAUCCCCCAC
rnacentral:lncRNA from 1 species